rnacentral:rRNA from 1 species
GAUGAACGCUGGCGGCGUGCCUAACACAUGCAAGUCGAGCGAACGCACGAGAAGCUCGCUUCCUUGCUGUUAGCGGCUGACGGGUGAGUAAGACGUGGAUAACCUUCCUCUAUGUCUGGGAUAACUUCGUGAAGCCGGAGCUAAUACUGGCUGAUAUUUUGUACCGCUUGGUUCAAAAGUGCAACACGGUCUUGCUGUCUCUUUUAGCUGGAUCCGCGUUGCCUUAGCUAGUUGGUAAGGUAACGCCUUACCAAGGCUACGAUGCAUAGCUGAUCUGAGAGGGUGAUCAGCCACACUGGAACUGAGACACGGUCCAGACUCCUACGGGAGGCAGCAGUAGGGAAUAUUGCGCAAAGGGCGAAAGCCUGACGGAGCAACGCCGCGUGGGUGAUGAAGGUCUUCGGAUCGUAAAACUCUGUUGUUGGGGAAGAACAGAUGUGUAAGUAACUGUGCCCAUCUUGACGGUACCUAAUCAGAAAGCCACGGCUAACUUCGUG